rnacentral:lncRNA from 1 species
CACUGACUCUCUGGCUGCGUUUGGAAAUCUGGACUUCAGCAUGAGACUUUGGCCUGGUUCUUUGCCUCCCACAGGUGGGGGACAUUGGCUGGGCUGAAGUAAUGUCCCAAGAGGAAGGUCUUCUAGCUCAGGGACUCCUGUGCCUCCAGUUCUGGGCCAGGUUACCCCUGGAGAAAUAAGGAAGUGAGGGAGGACCAGUAACAGAGUGUGAGGGCACUGGGCUUCUGGCCACCUGGCCCUAGCUUUUCCUGCUUCUCCUCUUGCUGUGUGGCCUCAGGCAAACCCUUCAGCAUCUCUGGGUCUCGUGUCUUCCCCAUCUUGGUUUCAUUCCACCUCAGGGUGGGGCCAUACUGGAGGAUCCAGACCCCACCAACACCAGCACCAUUUUCCUGGGCUCUGAGCUCCACAUGGAGUUUGCUGUGGUUGGCAGCUCCCAUUAGCCUUUACAGGUAUAUGUGGACGAGUGUGUGAUCAGCCCCAGCCAGGAUAUGGAAGUGGCCCCUGCACACUACAGCCUUGUCAGGAAUCAUGGGUACUGAACCUGGAGGAGGAGGAUAGGGUGCCUGGUGAACGGCAAGAACUUCCACUCCCACUUCGUGCCCCAAGAGGUCCCCAAGAGACUGGAGCUCUCCUUCCAGGCCUUCAGCUUUACUGGUACUCCUGCUGAUGUGAGUGGAAACAGAUAACCCCCUCCCCACUCUGCCACCCCGUAGGAACAGAGACCCAAGCUGAGGAAUCUUUGGAAGUUACGGGGUGCACCACAAGCUGUUGCUCUGGAAUCUAAAGGUCCCAUCUGAUGCUACCAAGAAGGCCUGUUCCUUCCACAGGGGCACUCAUGGUAAGAACUUCUGGAUGCCUCCCUGGGAGUAUGAGUGACAGUUGUGAGAUUACCUGCCUGGCCCCCUGAUUACCCUAUCAAAGGUCCUUGGCAGAUUCCAAUCAGGCCUCUGAGAAGGCUUCCCAUCAGGCCCCUGAGAAGGCUUCCAAUCAGGUGACAGAGAAGGCUGACUUGUCCUCUGAACUGAGUCAGGCUUCUGACUCUAGGGGGCCUGGAGACGAGCAAGGGAGCCCUCUCCUGUAGCCUGGGCUCUUCUCCAGGUCCCCUUCACAGUGAGAGACACUGGAGCUCUGCAUCCAGUGGUCUUUGGCAGUCCCUGUAGAACCAGGCUCUGGCUUCCUCCUUCUCCCCUCCCUCUCCUCCCUGGGCCCCCAUUUGUGGCCUGCCAGGGCAGAGCCUGAAACCUCAGGCAAUCUGGCUGUAAGCUUGCUUACCUCAUGACCUUGGAAGCCACUUACCCCUUUGAGCCUCCUUAUCCAGAACAGUAACUGCUGCCCACUGCAUAUUGUUAAUACAUGCUGCCUUUGUUGCCUGCCUGCCUGCCAAAGGAGGGGCCAGGGCUUCCAUUUUUCUGUUUAAUCCUCCCAAGAAUCCUCCCAAUAAUCCCAUGCAGUAGACACAAUCAGGUCCCAUUCUAUAGAUGGGGAAACUGAGGCUUGAGGUCACAUAGGCGUCGUUCAAGGCUGGUAUACCUGCACCCUCUCCCAUGUGAACAACAUGGUUCUGGGUAAUGGGGGCUGUCAUCCAGUCUCCUCCCUGCCCCUGCUGGUGCACUUCCUGCCUCUGCUGGUGCACUUUCUGCCCCUACUGGUAUAUUUGCUGCCUCUGCUGGGGCGCUUCCUGCCUCGGCUGGUGUAUCUCCUGCCCCUGCUGGUGCACUUUCUGCCCCCGCUGAUGCACUUCCUGCCUCUGCUGGUGCACUUCCUGGCUCUGCUGGCGCACUUCCUGCCUCUGCUGGUGCACUUCCUGGCUCUGCUGGCGCACUUCCUGCCCCUGCUGGUGUAUUUCCUGCCCCUGCUGGUGUACUUCCUUCCCCUGCUGGUGCACUUCCUGCCUCUGCUGGCGCACUUCUUGCCUCUCCAGGCCCUACCUAGCCUCUCCCUCUUAUAUAUGGAAGUCUUCCCAGUUCACUGACACUGGUAACAGGGACUCUGCUCUUGGUGUUGCUGUCUGCCCUGGGGAUGGGCAUCUGUGUCUUCCUUUACUACUGCUGGCUCAGGACCCAGAGCUUUGAAGCAUGUCCAGAUGCAGGUCCGGGCACCAGAGUCUAAGGAGCCCCUACACCCACCAGGAUUUUCCAAUAAAGAGAUGUUCACCAAUGAGUUUAGCUCUCUGGUUUUCCUGAGGAAGGGCUGGGAACAUGAGGUCCCCAGAACAGGGGCCACUGUUGGGGAUACUGUCUUAGGCAUGGCAGGACUCAGACAGGGGUGGGGAGGGGUGGAAAGAAGUGCGUUUUUCCUCCAAACCUGUGGCUGCCUUGGGUAGGCUGGGCUCAGAGCACUCCUGCCUUUGCCCCUUAAUGUUUGAGAAGCCCAGCAGCCCCCUAGGGCGGAGGUUGAGCCUCUUGAGGAUGAC